UAGCCGCCACCUCCCGCACGCCCGCACCCCGCUCUGUCCUUGCCUCGCGGCUCCACUCCCAUAACCCUACCCCCUCCUCUCCUCUGCGCCGCCGCCGCCGCCGUCGCCAGUCCUCCUCCCCUCACACCGCGCCCCCACGGCCCUUGAGGCGCUGCGCCAGAUCCAAUCCGACCACGGCGCCGUGCGACGCGACGGCGAGUGGGCGCCCGCCCUCCCCGUCCGUGAGCUCGUCCCCGGGGACAUCGUGCAGUGAGUGGGCGAGAGCAGUUGAAGUGAAGGCUCGAAGCAGGCAAGCAGCCGUGACUCGAUGGGGUGCGAGGCGGAGGCGGAGGAGCACGUCUCCGGUCUCCCCGAUUCCGUUCCGGUGGUGGCGUGAUGGGGCCCGCUGACUGGCCGAGCGGGUCAGCGAGCGAUGACGACGACCAAGGGAGAAGGGGAACGGCGCUGCAGCGGCGUGUUGGGGCCUAGGGAGCAAGCGACAGACGCGAUAUGCAGGCUGGGGCCAGGAGAGCUGACUAGAGACGAGGGUUGGGGAGACCGGAACACCCGGCACACCCUUUAGCUACGCCAAUGCCGCUCAAGCUCUGUCGAGACAUGGAACCGAAGCCGUGAGGCGGACAUCAUCAUUUUGUCAGACUAAGUGUGGAGUUACAAGUAUCAUUUUUUCACAAAGGAAGAAAUUCGGAGUAAUUUUCGCUCUUCAUGUUGUGAGAGAACCUGUUCAGUAGGAUGCCAACAUGCAUCAGGAAGCCAACGGACAGCCAGAGCUGGAAGGCAUGGAGCUUGAGCUGCAGUGACGAUGACAACUUGGGUGUCAGCUGCAAAAAACUACAGUUCAAAGUGUUCAACCAAGUGUAAGUUUGCAGUAAGUCAAUAAUUGCAGUUCUACAAUGACACAUUCAGACAUGCAUCCAAAGUUAGAUAGGAACAUGGAAAGAAUCUCCGAAACUUAUUUACAGGGGAGAGAAAACAUCACACCUAUUUUAUCUUCAGUGGUUGAACUCUCUUGUAGCUUCUGUUCAGAUCCUAAAGCUAUAUGAAGCACCAUAGGUUAAGUUUGCAAGCAAAAAGAUCACACAACCUGAUAGUACUGGUAGCAGUCUUUUUCUUCCAAAGUUUAGCAUUGAUGUCUAUCGAUUUGCAGGUAAGUUACAUGUGUGCGAAUGAGAGGUCGACCAACAAGUUGUUGAUUUCUUAAUCUCGGAAACUUGAUCCUUAUAUAACUGGCUAUCAGUUAAUUUUUUAUUGAACUUUCGGUCUGUUUAAAAUACCAGUACACGAUAUUCAGGUCCAAAGGUAAGUAGCAACCUAUUUGGGCAAGUUGCAAACACAUCCGGGAUCUGGAGUAGUAGAAAUUCCUAAGUGGAUUGGGAUAUUGACAUGCAGGGAUCAAAUUGGGUGUUGUUUUUCUACUCAAUUCUGCUCCUGAUGGUUUUGUGACUGACACAUGUACUCUUUUCCUGAUUUAGAUCUUUCCAACAUCUCAUGCCACGAGUCAAAACGAGUAGUACUACUCAUGUACAUUCUGAUCGUGCGCAUUAGCUUUGCUGGGUAGUAAUGAUUAUAGAUCAUGAUUUCUGCAUGUCUUAGACCCACCACUCCACCACUCCGCUCCCGGAGCUGGAGAUAAAAAGCACGGAGCUGGGAAACAGAUGCUCCGCAGCUCCUCGUAUGUUUAGGAGCUGAAGUGACUCCGAACAGGGCCUUAGUUUCAUGUUGUGCAGUUUGCUAUGGUGGCAUUAAUUCAUAUAAUAAGUGCAUAAUCAUGCCAUGAGUGACUAUGGGGCACUAGCAUUAAGAGCCUUAUUUUUUUCCUUCUGUUCUUCACUAAUAUAUUCUUCUUAACUAGUUUCUUUAAUUACCAAUAUAGGCCUUUAAUUUGUGUGCACCUAAUAUUAAAUCCUGAAGAAAGUGAAAUUAUGUAGUGUUCAAAAUUAUAAAGUGUACUUAAUUACAAAUAAUGUGCCUUAUAGAAGAACUGAGCCCUCAUAUUUUGUACUUAGAAUUUAGAACUAUACUUUGGUUGGUUUGGUUUAGUAAUACUACUUGAGGCAGGCUUUUGAAAAUAUAUGUAAGAAGACCCGAGUACUCAUUCAAAGUGUAUUUGUAUUAACAUUCAUAUAUAUGUAGCUCUGAUAAGUGUUGGUGGGUUUAGUUUUUCAAUACCACAGCUGAUGUUUUCUUUAUAGAAUAAGAUGGAACUACACAUACCCAAAGUAACAUUUAGAAUUACUCAACUCUGACAAGCUUAGUUUCGUCACUACAUGUUACUGCUCUCGCGUGGCGCUUCGUGUGUGGCUGCUCGAUGCGUAAAGGCGAGAGAGGAUUGGAUCGGAGGAAACCCUACCCGACACAAUCGCUCCUCUGCCCCCCCCCCCCCCCCCCCCCCCCCCCUCUGGCCCGAGCCACCACUUCUCUGCGCCUCCCUGACCCACGGGAUCCUACCGCCGAUGCUCGAGACUCGGAGAGCAGCCGACGGCGGUGGAUAAGGAGAUCCAAAGCGAGCCGCUGCCGACGGUGAUGUUUGUACUAUUGCUUCUAAUCAAUGGGUGAAUUUUGCUGUGAUUUCCGUGUGUCCAUCCAAAGGAAGUAGAUGAUUGAUAGAGAUUCAGAGGGAGCAAUUGAUAUAGAGAGUUGUUGUGGUUCCUAUUUCUUCAGGUAGUUACUUUUCUUGCAGUUUCCUUUUAGUUACGAGCUUCCUCUGCAGUAUAGUCAUUUCUUUAUUUCAUUACCAGUCCCUGUUGACUACAAUGUAACCAUGCAUUGGCAGCAUAAAUUGCAGCAGUUCUUAAUCAGUUAGAAAAAAGCAACCUGAUCAAUCUUGCUUCAGAUUAUGUUUCUAUUGCUAUUGCGGCCUGAGGUCCAUCCCCGAUCGCCCCUCCUCUCAAGCCGCUACGGUGGCCUAUAUGUUUUAGCGGGUUCCGUCACGCCGGGCUGCCCCAGUCCCUGACCCAGGGUUUGGUGGGCGAGCUCACUACCAUCCUCCCAGUGGUCUUCUUCCUCGCUUGAUUCUUGGGCGCCCCAUCUAUUCUGGACGAGCACCUUCCAGUGGUGGGUGAGGAGAUCUGGCAUGAACCACGCGCCGAGAGGAGCUCAAUUUCUGCUGCCUCUGCACGCCCUAGGCCUAAUCUCACCAAUCUUUGCUACACUUCACAUCAUGAGGGAAGGAGGAUGCGUCCAUCGCAACACUCAAGCAAAUCAGAUGACAAGGUGUUUGGAGCAAGCUACUCAUAGCCAACUACAUAGUUUAGUACAAUGCUGUAUUAAAGCAGUGUAAAUAAAUAACUUAUAUGGCCUACUUUUGGUAUAUAGUACCGAACCUUGAUCUUUAGGUAUUUCACGCUACAAUUGUUAACAAAUGCACCAAUGGUUUGUAACGAGAUUUGAUGUUUUUAGUUGGACCAUUACUGUUGUAAGUAAAUAUCAUCUUCUGCUUUUUGAGUAA